UUUCCGUAGGUGAACCUGCGGAAGGAUCAUUAUUGUAUAACGAAGGUGCGUGGCCUGUCGCUUACCCGAAAGGGCGUGCACCCCCGAGUGCCCUCACACACCUCUAUCUCACCCCUAUGUGCACCACCGGGUGGGUCCCGCUUUGGCUUUUUCGGAGGGGGGAUUAAUUUUUCACACAAACUUUGAAUGCAGUCUAGAUUGUAUUUUUUGUUUGUGCGAUCCCGCAAUAAAUACAACUUUCAACAACGGAUCUCUUGGCUCUC
rnacentral:misc_RNA from 1 species